GGGCCCGUAGCUCAAUUGGUAGAGCGCAUCCAUGGCAUGGAUGAGGCAGGGGGAUCGUAGCCCCCCGGGUCCA
rnacentral:tRNA from 1 species